rnacentral:rRNA from 1 species
AUACGGAGGAUCCGAGCGUUAUCCGGAUUUAUUGGGUUUAAAGGGAGCGUAGGUGGAUUGUUAAGUUAGUUGUGAAAGUCUGCGGCUCAACCGUAAAAUUGCAGUUGAAACUGGCAGUCUUGAGUACAGUAGAGGUGGGCGGAAUUCGUGGUGUAGCGGUGAAAUGCUUAGAUAUCACGAAGAACUCCGAUUGCGAAGGCAGCUCACUAGACUGUUACUGACACUGAUGCUCGAAAGUGUGGGUAUCAAACAGGAUUAGAUACCCUGGUAGUCCACACAGUAAACGAUGAAUACUCGCUGUUUGCGAUAUACAGUAAGCGGCCAAGCGAAAGCAUUAAGUAUUCCACCUGGGGAGUACGCCGGCAACGGUGAAACUCAAAUGAAUUGACGGGG